AUCUUUUUCCAGUUUAUAUGCAUGAUGAUUGGGUGUUCACAAGAUUUUUUAACAUGUGUCUCCCUUAAACAUUGUUAUGUAUUUGGUGCUUACUCACCUGAUG